rnacentral:rRNA from 1 species
UACGUAGGUGGCGAGCGUUGUCCGGAUUUACUGGGCGUAAAGGGAGCGUAGGCGGACUUUUAAGUGAGAUGUGAAAUACCCGGGCUCAACUUGGGUGCUGCAUUUCAAACUGGAAGUCUAGAGUGCAGGAGAGGAGAAUGGAAUUCCUAGUGUAGCGGUGAAAUGCGUAGAGAUUAGGAAGAACACCAGUGGCGAAGGAGAUUCUCUGGACUGUAACUGACGCUGAGGCUCGAAAGCGUGGGGAGCAAACAGGAUUAGAUACCCGUGUA